GGAAAGAACCUCAUCGGAAUAGGGGCCUGCAGAGUUCAGUAAGGGACUGUUUCGUUAGGUCGCGAAGCUCGGGAUCGUCUAAUUCCACACCCCACACACAUACCUUAGUCUCCGGUGGUCUUCUGUAGUGGGGAAAACGAGGUACCUGAGACAGAAUGGAUCAUUCAGCUUCCAGCCCGAAGACACCCAGCCCCUCACGCUGAUACCUUUUCCCUAGUUGUUACUUCCCUCUCCUUGGUCCUUACUCACCAUGUCUGGCUGGAGGCGACCCAGAUGCCAUGUGAUGGUCAUUUGAAGACAGGACUUCUGAAUAUCAGAUAAGGAAUUAUAGUCUCUUAGUUAUACAAUGGAGAAUAAGAGAAGUCCUGAGCUGGGCCUGGUGGCACAUGCCUGUAACCCAACACUUCAGAGGUUGAGGCGGGAAGAACAUGAGUUCAAGGCCAGCUUUCAUUACAAAGUCAGUCUGAGACCCAGCUAGGCUAAAUGACCCUGUUUCAAAACAAAGUCCUUCCCGGUGGUAGUGGUGCAUGCUUUUAA